GACGAACGCUGGCGGCGUGCUUAACACAUGCAAGUCGAACGGUGAAGCGCCUUCCUUUUUGGUGGGUGUGGAUGAGUGGCGAACGGGUGAGUAACACGUGAGUAACCUGCCCCCUUCUUCUGGAUAACCGCAUGAAAGUGUGGCUAAUACGGGAUAUUCUGGGUCUGUCGCAUGAUGGGUCUGGGAAAGAUAUUGUUUCGGUGGUGGAUGGGCUCGCGGCCUAUCAGCUUGUUGGUGGGGUGAUGGCCUACCAAGGCGGUGACGGGUAGCCGGCCUGAGAGGGUGGACGGUCACACUGGGACUGAGACACGGCCCAGACUCCUACGGGAGGCAGCAGUGGGGAAUAUUGCACAAUGGGCGCAAGCCUGAUGCAGCGACGCCGCGUGAGGGAUGGAGGCCUUCGGGUUGUGAACCUCUUUCGCCAGUGAAGCAGGCCUGCCUCGUUUGUGGGUGGGUUGACGGCAGCUGGAUAAGAAGCGCCGGCUAACUACGUG
rnacentral:rRNA from 1 species